CACCAACUUCUCUAUUCUUUGCCUACUUUGUGUUUGUAAUUGUUUUCCAGUAAUAGCAGCUUGCCCAUUCCAUGUAAGGCAUCCUGGUGAGUAAGGAAGAUCAGAUGGAACACUUAAAUCAUUGUGAUCACCUUUGAAUGCAAUUACCCAUGAUUCUGAAGGUUGUGAUGGUUGUUGUCUCUGUUGAAGCCUUAUUUUUUCUUCUGACACAACCAUAGGGCUUAUAGCUGGUUCAUCUUCUAGUUCUGGAUUCUCAAAAGCAGUAGCACAACUUGAAGUCUCCCUAUAGACCCUUGGUGUAGGCAUGAAAACAAA
rnacentral:lncRNA from 1 species